rnacentral:rRNA from 1 species
GAUGAACGCUGGCGGCGUGCCUAAUACAUGCAAGUCGAGCGAACAGACGAGGAGCUUGCUCCUCUGACGUUAGCGGCGGACGGGUGAGUAACACGUGGAUAACCUACCUAUAAGACUGGGAUAACUUCGGGAAACCGGAGCUAAUACCGGAUAAUAUAUUGAACCGCAUGGUUCAAUAGUGAAAGACGGCUUUGCUGUCACUUAUAGAUGGAUCCGCGCGGCAUUAGCUAGUUGGUAAGGUAACGGCUUACCAAGGCUACGAUGCGUAGCCGACCUGAGAGGGUGAUCGGCCACACUGGAACUGAGACACGGUCCAGACUCCUACGGGAGGCAGCAGUAGGGAAUCUUGCGCAAUGGGCGAAAGCCUGACGGAGCAACGCCGCGUGGGUGAAGAAGGUCUUCGGAUCGUAAAACUCUGUUAUUAGGGAAGAACAAAUGUGUAAGUAACUAUGCACGUCUUGACGGUACCUAAACAGAAAGCCACGGCUAACUACGU